rnacentral:rRNA from 1 species
AACGAACGCUGGCGGCAUGCCUAACACAUGCAAGUCGAACGAGACCUUCGGGUCUAGUGGCGCACGGGUGCGUAACGCGUGGGAACCUGCCCUUAGGUUCGGAAUAACUCCCCGAAAGGGGUGCUAAUACCGGAUAAUGUCUUCGGACCAAAGAUUUAUCGCCUUUGGAGGGGCCCGCGUUGGAUUCGCUAGUUGGUAGGGUAAAAGCCUACCAAGGCGACGAUCCAUAGCUGGUCUGAGAGGAUGAUCAGCCACACUGGGACUGAGACACGGCCCAGACUCCUACGGGAGGCAGCAGUGGGGAAUAUUGGAAAAUGGGCGAAAGCCUGAUCCAGCAAUGCCGCGUGAGUGAUGAAGGCCUUAGGGUUGUAAAGCUCUUUUACCCGGGAUGAUAAUGACAGUACCGGGAGAAUAAGCGCCGGCUAACUCCGUG